rnacentral:rRNA from 1 species
UACAGAGACUGCGAGCGUUAUUCGGAUUCACUGGGCGUAAAGGGUGCGCAGGCGGCCAAGUGUGUGAGGCGUGAAAGCCCGGGGCUUAACCCCGGAAUUGCACCUCAAACUACAUGGCUAGAGCAUUGGAGAGGGUAGCGGAAUUCACGGUGUAGCAGUGAAAUGCGUAGAUAUCGGGAGGAACACCAGUGGCGAAGGCGGCUUUCUGGUCUGCUCUUGACGCUGAGGCGCGAAAGCUAGGGUAGCAAACGGG